GAGUUUGAUCCUGGCUCAGAACGAACGCUGGCGGCGUGCCUAACACAUGCAAGUCGAACGUGAUCCAGAGCUUGCUCUGGUGAAAGUGGCGCACGGGUGAGUAACGCGUGGAUAACCUACCCUGGUAUCCGGGAUAACAUUCCGAAAGGGGUGCUAAUACCGGAUAAGCCCACGGGCUCUUUGGAGCUUGCGGGAAAAGGUGGCCUCUAUUUAUAAGCUAYUGUAUCAGGAUGGGUCCGCGUACCAUUAGCUAGUUGGCGGUGUAACGGACCACCAAGGCGACGAUGGUUAGCUGGUCUGAGAGGAUGAUCAGCCACACUGGAACUGAGACMCGGUCCAGACUCCUACGGGAGGCAGCAGUGGGGAAUUUUGCGCAAUGGGGGAAACCCUGACGCAGCAACGCCGCGUGAGUGAUGAAGGCCUUUGGGUCGUAAAGCUCUGUCAGAGGGGAAGAAAUGAUAUAGUGCUAAUACCACUUUAUCUUGACGGUACCCUCAAAGGAAGCACCGGCUAACUCCGUGCCAGCAGCCGCGGUAAUAC
rnacentral:rRNA from 1 species